rnacentral:rRNA from 1 species
GCCGGGGCAACCUGGCGCUUCUUGAUGAACCCGCGGCCUAUCAGCUAGUUGGUGAGGUAACGGCUCACCAAGGCUGUGACGGGUAGCUGGUCUGAGAGGACGACCAGCCACACUGGAACUGAGACACGGUCCAGACACCUACGGGUGGCAGCAGUCGAGAAUUUUUCUCAAUGGGGGAAACCCUGAAGGAGCGACGCCGCGUGGAGGAUGAAGGUCUUCGGAUCGUAAACUCCUGUCAUUUGGGAACAAUUGUCACCGGUUAACUGCCGGGGGCUUGAUAGUACCAGAAGAGGAAGAGACGGCUAACUCUGUGCCAGCAGCCGCGGUAAUACAGAGGUCUCAAGCGUUGUUCGGAUUCAUUGGGCGUAAAGGGUGCGUAGGUGGCGCCGUAAGUCAGGUGUGAAAUCCCGGGGCUCAACCCCGAAACUGCACUUGAUACUGCGGUGCUCGAGUACUGGAGAGGAGAUUGGAAUUUACGGUGUAGCAGUGAAAUGCGUAGAUAUCGUAAGGAAGACCAGUGGCGAAGGCGAAUCUCUGGACAGUUACUGACACUGAUGCACGAAGGCCAGGGGAGCAAACGGGAUUAGAUACCCCGGUAGUCCUGGCAGUAAACGGUGCGCGUCUGGUGUGGGAGGAUUCGACCCCUUCUGUGCCGGAGCUAACGCGUUAAACGCGCCGCCUGGGGAGUACGGUCGCAAGAUUAAAACUCAAGGAAAUUGACGGGGGCCCGCACAAGCGGUGGAGUAUGUGGCUUAAUUCGAUCCACGCGAAGAACCUUACCUAGCCUUGACAUGCAUCUCUAAGUCGGUGAAAGCCGGCGAGUGUAGCAAUACACAAUUUGCACAGGUGCUGCAUGGCUGUCGUCAGCUCGUGUCGUGAGAUGUUGGGUUAAGUCCCGCAACGAGCGCAACCCCUGUGAACUGUUGCCACCGGCCUUCGGGCCGAGCACUCUGUUCAGACUGCCCUGUGAAACGGGGAGGAAGGUGGGGAUGACGUCAAGUCAGCAUGGCCCUUACGGCUAGGGCUGCACACGUACUACAAUGCUCAGUACAGAAUGAACCGAAACCGCGAGGUGGAGGAAAUCCCUAAAACUGAGCCCAAUUCGGAUUGGAGGCUGCAACUCGCCUCCAUGAAGCCGGAAUCGCUAGUAAUGGCGUAUCAGCUACGACGCCGUGAAUACGUUCCCGGGCCUUGUACACACCGCCCGUCACAUCC